AAAUACAUGACCGACCAGAUCCCCGUUUGCAUCCUUAUCUCUCCAACUUCUUUCUUUGUGAGUCUCCCCAAUUUCUUCGUUCUAUUACUGGGGUUUUGUAUCGAAGAACUCUUGCAACUGUGGUCCUGCAUUUGUUCAUUUCCAUUGUGUCGCAGCAAUUGUGUCUUUAGAUUUUCUAUCGAAGAACUGCUGGUAUUGUGGUCCUGCAUUUGUGCUUUCACAUUGUGCAAUGGAUUGUUGGUUUAUGGUUUGCCAUAACUGGAAAAAGGAAGCCGUAGAUGGUUGUGCUCAUUGAUUUCCUGUACCGAUCAAAAACAACCUUCGCUCAGUGUUGACUUGGUGGACGGCCAUCACAUUAGUUUGCUAAGAGAUGUCUCGUACAAAAAGGCUUGGUAUGCAAGGCGUCGUGCGAUUGACAUCGUAUACGGUGAUUGGCCCACUUCAAUAGCACAACUACCAAUUGUCAUGCAAGAGUUGGUACUGGCUAAUCCGGAUACAGUUGUGGUAUGGCAGCAUCAUCUACAAAGUACUGUUGGAUGUACAGUUUUUCACCAUGUGUUUUGGGCAUUUGGACUCGUUAUCGAGGCAUUUCGACACCUGAAACCAGUUAUUUGUGUUGAUGGCACAUUCAUGAAAGGGACAUACAAGUCAAAGUUAUUAGUAGCAGUUGGAUUUGAUGCUAGCAAUGUCAAUUUUCGCUUGCUUUCGCACUUGUUGAUGAGGAGACCAAUUGGAGUUGGUCUUGGUUUAUGUCCCAAUUAUGCCACCACAUGUGUCGAGAAGUUGAAAAUAUAUGCAUCAUUUCAGAUCGCCACAGGGGGAUAAAUGCAAUAAAACCUUGCCAGAGUGGAAGGAGCCGCUUGCAGUGCAUCGAUAUUGUUUGGUCCACGUGCAAAGCAAUUUCAGAUUUUUUUUAUCAGAAAAAGAAACAAUUAACAUGUUGUGCAUAUUUUGAUAGAAUCCUGUUAGACCAUACGUAGUUAGCUCUGUACGUGGAUAGGAAAUUAUUUGAAACAUUAUUAAAAUAAUUACUAUAGCAUUUUUUAUAAUAUAAUGUAUGUGAGAUGAAAAGGUGAUUGAUUGAAAUCAUGUUUGUAAUGCAAACAUAAUAUUAUUUAGAAUACUUUUACUAUUCA